rnacentral:rRNA from 1 species
GGGUUGUGAGGUUAAGCGACUAAGCGUACACGGUGGAUGCCCUGGCAGUCAGAGGCGAUGAAGGGCGUGCUAAUCUGCGAUAAGCGCCGGUAAGGUGAUAUGAACCGUUAUAACCGGCGAUACCCGAAUGGGGAAACCCAGUGUGAUUCGUCACACUAUCAUUAACUGAAUCCAUAGGUUAAUGAGGCGAACCGGGGGAACUGAAACAUCUAAGUACCCCGAGGAAAAGAAAUCAACCGAGAUUCCCCCAGUAGCGGCGAGCGAACGGGGAGGAGCCCAGAGCCUGAAUCAGCAUGUGUGUUAGUGGAAGCGUCUGGAAAGGCGCGCGAUACAGGGUGACAGCCCCGUACACAAAAGCGCAUGUGCUGUGAGCUCGAUGAGUAGGGCGGGACACGUGAUAUCCUGUCUGAAUAUGGGGGGACCAUCCUCCAAGGCUAAAUACUCCUGACUGACCGAUAGUGAACCAGUACCGUGAGGGAAAGGCGAAAAGAACCCCGGCGAGGGGAGUGAAAAAGAACCUGAAACCGUGUACGUACAAGCAGUGGGAGCACCCUUCGGGGUGUGACUGCGUACCUUUUGUAUAAUGGGUCAGCGACUUAUAUUCUGUAGCAAGGUUAACCGAAUAGGGGAGCCGGAGGGAAACCGAGUCUUAACCGGGCGUUAAGUUGCAGGGUAUAGACCCGAAACCCGGUGAUCUAGCCAUGGGCAGGUUGAAGGUUGGGUAACACUAACUGGAGGACCGAACCGACUAAUGUUGAAAAAUUAGCGGAUGACCUGUGGCUGGGGGUGAAAGGCCAAUCAAACCGGGAGAUAGCUGGUUCUCCCCGAAAGCUAUUUAGGUAGCGCCUCGUGAAUUCAUCUCCGGGGGUAGAGCACUGUUUCGGCUAGGGGGCCAUCCCGGCUUACCAACCCGAUGCAAACUGCGAAUACCGGAGAAUGUUAUCACGGGAGACACACGGCGGGUGCUAACGUCCGUCGUGAAGAGGGAAACAACCCAGACCGCCAGCUAAGGUCCCAAAGUCAUGGUUAAGUGGGAAACGAUGUGGGAAGGCCCAGACAGCCAGGAUGUUGGCUUAGAAGCAGCCAUCAUUUAAAGAAAGCGUAAUAGCUCACUGGUCGAGUCGGCCUGCGCGGAAGAUGUAACGGGGCUAAACCAUGCACCGAAGCUGCGGCAGCGAACGUAUCACUUAAAGCGAUUCAGCGGGUUACGAUUGACGGAGCGAAGCGACGUCAAAGCGUAUACAAAGUCGAGUCGGUUUAAGGAUACGUUCGUUGGGUAGGGGAGCGUUCUGUAAGCCUGUGAAGGUGUGUCGUGAGGCAUGCUGGAGGUAUCAGAAGUGCGAAUGCUGACAUAAGUAACGAUAAAGCGGGUGAAAAGCCCGCUCGCCGGAAGACCAAGGGUUCCUGUCCAACGUUAAUCGGGGCAGGGUGAGUCGACCCCUAAGGCGAGGCCGAAAGGCGUAGUCGAUGGGAAACGGGUUAAUAUUCCCGUACUUGGUGUUACUGCGAAGGGGGACGGAGAAGGCUAUGUUGGCCGGGCGACGGUUGUCCCGGUUUAAGCGUGUAGGUGUGUGUUCCAGGUAAAUCCGGUUCACUUUAACACUGAGGCGUGACGACGAGGCACUACGGUGCUGAAGCAACAAAUGCCCUGCUUCCAGGAAAAGCCUCUAAGCAUCAGGUAACAUCAAAUCGUACCCCAAACCGACACAGGUGGUCAGGUAGAGAAUACCAAGGCGCUUGAGAGAACUCGGGUGAAGGAACUAGGCAAAAUGGUGCCGUAACUUCGGGAGAAGGCACGCUGACACGUAGGUGAAGUGAUUUACUCAUGGAGCUGAAGUCAGUCGAAGAUACCAGCUGGCUGCAACUGUUUAUUAAAAACACAGCACUGUGCAAACACGAAAGUGGACGUAUACGGUGUGACGCCUGCCCGGUGCCGGAAGGUUAAUUGAUGGGGUCAGCGCAAGCGAAGCUCCUGAUCGAAGCCCCGGUAAACGGCGGCCGUAACUAUAACGGUCCUAAGGUAGCGAAAUUCCUUGUCGGGUAAGUUCCGACCUGCACGAAUGGCGUAAUGAUGGCCAGGCUGUCUCCACCCGAGACUCAGUGAAAUUGAACUCGCUGUGAAGAUGCAGUGUACCCGCGGCAAGACGGAAAGACCCCGUGAACCUUUACUAUAGCUUGACACUGAACAUUGAGCCUUGAUGUGUAGGAUAGGUGGGAGGCUUUGAAGUGUGGACGCCAGUCUGCAUGGAGCCGACCUUGAAAUACCACCCUUUAAUGUUUGAUGUUCUAACGUGGACCCGUGAUCCGGGUUGCGGACAGUGUCUGGUGGGUAGUUUGACUGGGGCGGUCUCCUCCUAAAGAGUAACGGAGGAGCACGAAGGUUGGCUAAUCCUGGUCGGACAUCAGGAGGUUAGUGCAAUGGCAUAAGCCAGCUUGACUGCGAGCGUGACGGCGCGAGCAGGUGCGAAAGCAGGUCAUAGUGAUCCGGUGGUUCUGAAUGGAAGGGCCAUCGCUCAACGGAUAAAAGGUACUCCGGGGAUAACAGGCUGAUACCGCCCAAGAGUUCAUAUCGACGGCGGUGUUUGGCACCUCGAUGUCGGCUCAUCACAUCCUGGGGCUGAAGUAGGUCCCAAGGGUAUGGCUGUUCGCCAUUUAAAGUGGUACGCGAGCUGGGUUUAGAACGUCGUGAGACAGUUCGGUCCCUAUCUGCCGUGGGCGCUGGAGAACUGAGGGGGGCUGCUCCUAGUACGAGAGGACCGGAGUGGACGCAUCACUGGUGUUCGGGUUGUCAUGCCAAUGGCACUGCCCGGUAGCUAAAUGCGGAAGAGAUAAGUGCUGAAAGCAUCUAAGCACGAAACUUGCCCCGAGAUGAGUUCUCCCUGAGACUUAGAGUCUCCUGAAGGAACGUUGAAGACGACGACGUUGAUAGGCCGGGUGUGUAAGCGCAGCGAUGCGUUGAGCUAACCGGUACUAAUGAACCGUGAGGCUUAACCUUACAACGCCGAAG